rnacentral:rRNA from 1 species
GACGAACGCUGGCGGCGUGCCUAAUACAUGCAAGUCGAACGCAGUGGGGACGGGUGAGUAACACGUGGGUAACCUCCCAUCAGAGGGGAUAACACUUGGAAACAGGUGCUAAACCGAUACUGAUGGAUGGACCCGCGGUGCAUUAGCUAGUUGGGGAGGUAACGGCGCACCAAGGCCACGAUGCAUAGCGGGCCGGGGAGGGUGAGCGGCACGACGGGAAGUGAGACACGGCCCAGACUCCUACGGGAGGCAGCAGUAGGGAAUCUUCGGCAAUGGACGCAAGUCUGACCGAGCAACGCCGCGGUAGUGAAGAAGGUUUUCGGGUGGUAAAACUCGUUUGUAAGAGAAGCGGUAUCUAACCAGAAAGCCACGGCUAACGACGUGCCAGCAGCCGCGGUAAUAC